GACGAACGCUGGCGGCGUGCUUAACACAUGCAAGUCGAACGGUGAAGCGCCUUCCUUUUUGGUGGGUGUGGAUGAGUGGCGAACGGGUGAGUAACACGUGAGUAACCUGCCCCCUUCUUCUGGAUAACCGCAUGAAAGCGUGGCUAAUACGGGAUAUUCUGGGUCUGUCGCAUGAUGGGUCUGGGAAAGAUAUUGUUUCGGUGGGGGAUGGGCUCGCGGCCUAUCAGCUUGUUGGUGGGGUGAAGGCCUACCAAGGCGGUGACGGGUAGCCGGCCUGAGAGGGUGGACGGUCACACUGGGACUGAGACACGGCCCAGACUCCUACGGGAGGCAGCAGUGGGGAAUAUUGCACAAUGGGCGAAAGCCUGAUGCAGCGACGCCGCGUGAGGGAUGGAGGCCUUCGGGUUGUGAACCUCUUUCGCCAGUGAAGCAGGCCUGCCUCGUUUGUGGGUGGGUUGACGGUAGCUGGAUAAGAAGCGCCGGCUAACUACGUG
rnacentral:rRNA from 1 species